AUGCAGGCGACGGCGCACCUGCUCAAUCUGCUGCUGCUGUCGCUGCUGGCCGGACUCGGUCCUUCCCAGCUUCUAGAAUACAUACUGCCCCUCAGUGUGCAAAGAGGAGAAGGCGGCCACUUGUUCUAUGCCACGUAGGACAUUAGAGAGAAUAUCCACAUGUCCAUAAACGGUUCUGGACAGGGGG